CUGAGCUGUUAUAAAGGCUUUUUAAAACUCAGCUGUGCUGACCACGCAUUGUAUGAGAGCACAGAGUUGAUGGUCUACAUGAAUGCAAUGCUUGAGGAUUCCUAGUUGAACAAGAAGAUUUUUGCGUUAAAGAAAGUAACAGAAUGACUGUUCUAUGGUUUCAUUCUUAUGGUAGUGCUCUUGCAUUGAUAUAACUCCAGGGAAUGGGUUUGCAGCAACUUUAAGAAACAGAGUGAACUAUUUGAAAGGGUUGAACCCUUUGAAAAGGGAUCUUUGCAGUUGGUCUAGUCAUUUUUAUUAUAAAACAUGGAGGAAUAACAUGCUGGAAGUUGGAUGAACUGAGUCAUAACACCAAAAGAACAUUUUCAAAAGCAAUUGAUCUCACUAACUGCUAUCUCUGAACCACUUGCUUUGCAAGCAAGCUCACUAUGGAGCCCACAGAAGUGUGAACAAAUGGGAUGUCACCAGAGCCACAGAUUCUCAGGGGAAUAUGACUAGAAAGGGAAGCAGGAGAGUUCUGAAGCACAAUGCUGGAGGCUGGAAAACAAUUUCACCUUCACUAUCACUCCCAUUCAGAUUUGGAUCUCAUUCCUGGUCCUGCAGUCCACCAGCAAAACUGCAGGGCAGAGCUUCCUCUCACAGCAUGUGAGUAAAGCUGUGAGCCUCUCCCCAGGCACCAGCCUGCAGAGCACUGCCUGGACAGGCUGCUCUGGUGGGCAAAUCUCUGCAUGGCACCCCCAGCAAGUCACAGCCCAAACACUUUGCUCACCUGGGGCGUGUGCAGG
ensembl:lncRNA